GACAGAGGGUGCAAACGUUGUUCGGAAUUACUGGGCGUAAAGCGCGUGUAGGCGGCUAUGCAAGUCGGGUGUGAAAGCCCUGGGCUUAACCUAGGAAGUGCACUCGAAACUGCAUAGCUCGAGUCCCGGAGAGGAUGGUGGAAUUCUCGGUGUAGAGGUGAAAUUCGUAGAUAUCGAGAGGAACACCGGUGGCGAAGGCGGCCAUCUGGACGGGUACUGACGCUGAGACGCGAAAGCGUGGGUAGCAAACAGGAUUAGAUACCCUGGUAGUCCACGCCGUAAACGAUGGGUGCUAGGUGUCGCGGGCUUUGACUCCUGCGGUGCCGUAGCUAACGCAUUAAGCACCCCGCCUGGGGAGUACGGCCGCAAGGCUAAA
rnacentral:rRNA from 1 species